rnacentral:rRNA from 1 species
AUUGAACGCUGGCGGCGGGCCUAACACAUGCAAGUCGAGCGAGCGGCGGACGGGUGAGUAGUGUAUGGGGACCUGCCCGAUAGAGGGGGCUAACUACUGGAAACGGUGGCUAAUACCGCAUACGAUCGGAUGCACCCAGUGGGGAUUAGCUAGUAGGUGUGGUAAAGGCUCACCUAGGCGACGAUCCCUAGCUGGUCUGAGAGGAUGAUCCGCCACACUGGGACUGAGACACGGCCCAGCCUCCUACGGGAGGCAGCAGUGGGGAAUAUUGCACAAUGGGCGCAAGCCUGAUGGAGCCAUGCCGCGUGUGUGAAGAAGGCCUUAGGGUUGUAAAGUACUUUCAGCGGGGAGGCGUUACCCGCAGAAGAAGCACCGGCUAACUCCGUGCCAGCAGCCGCGGUAAUUC